AGGUUUUGCAAUGGCCUUCGUUUGAUCUUCCCCAAUUUAUCACAUGGUCAUACAAUGGAUGCCUUGUUUAUUAUGCAGAUUUCAUAUGGGUUUGGAGGGAGUGCAAGAAUGGGCGAAAGACUAUGAAUAAUAACAAUGUAGAAAAUUUGCCGUGGACUCUGGCCUCUAUGAUCCUUAUCAUAAAGGGCAAUAUAUUAUUUAUACUGUUCUUGGUUAGAAGUAUAGUUGGGUGAUUAUGGAACCUUGAUUCAUGAGGAACAAUAAAAAUGUUACCAAGAAAAUUACUGCUUAGUGGAAAAGCACCCAUCUUACCUUGGGAAGAAGCACUUCUGAUACAAAGCACUUGGGCAGAAGAACAAUAAAAAUGAGCAGAGGAAGCAAUAAAAAUAGUUGCUUAUAUUCCAUCAUCAAUAAAACAUUUCUCACAGAUGUAUUAAGUUCAUGCAGAUUUGCUUGAUAUACGGUACCAAGCAAAUUUAUACGUAUAAAAAGAUAUAUAUAUAAAAUAUCUCAUUUACAAGAUACUUUCUCAUCAAUUUUUUCUAAUCUAUACUUAAACUAAAUAGAGAAUAAAAGGUUUUCACAAAGUCAAAUUAAUUUUAAUAGAUAUUAAUUGCACGUUAGAAUUCCGACCCCUCUUGUGAUUUCAAUUUGCGAGAUGCAAGCCAUAGUUGGGUCUCGAGGCCUAACUUCCUGAGCUCUGUAAGACCUUUUUCAACUGUAAAUACCAAGAAAGAAUCAUGCAGAUUAAUUUUAUCUCCAAAUUAUGUUGUAUACUGAGUGUGGAGGUGACAUUUCUAUGUUAUAUUACUAGGAAGCAAAAUUUUCAAUAUGAAAAUUUGAAAGCAUGAUAAGAAAAGCCUUCGAUAACAAUUUGAGACAUUGUUUCUGAAUUUUAACCAUCAUAUACCUUAUGAUCA